AUGACCCGCAGCCGCCGCGCCCGCCCCGCCCCGCCACCGGCGGCGCUGGAAGACGACGACCUCCCGCGGAAGAUUUUCCUCCUCCUCCCGCCUCAGCCCUCCACCCUUCCCCGCGUCUCCGUCGUCUGCAAGCAGUGGCGCGACGUCGUCACCGACCCCCAAUUCCUCCGCGGCUUCCGCGACCAACACCGGAGACCUCCGCUCCUCGGCCUCGUCAUGGGCCACACCGCGUCGCCCUACUUCAGGUCCGAUCUCGACCCUCCAGACCACAUCCCGCACGAGCGCUUCUUCCCUCGAGACAUCCGCAGCAUGAACAUGGACAUAUUCGACUGCCGCCAUGGGCGCGUCGUCUUCUUCGCCCAACGGCUGGGCGAGGUCGUGCUGUUUGACCCCGCCACGGGAGGCCGCCGUUGUGUGGUCGUUCCACCAGUGUUUCACGGAAAGGAGAUUGGCGUCUUCAACGCCGCCGUGAUUUGCGUUUCCGGCGACGAAGGCCACGUGCACGGCGAUUGCCACGCCAGUCCAUUUCAGGUGAUCUUGAUGGGCAUCAGUGACGACUAUAAACAAGCUUUCGCCUCUGUCUACUCAUCGGAGUCUGGCAUAUGGGGUGAUAUCAUCUCCAUAGAGAAUCGUGAGAUGUAUGAUUUGAAGCAACCCAGUACACUUAUUGGAAAUGCCCUUUACUGGUUGUUUCCUGGAGAUGAUGGGGAAGGCAUACUGGAGUUUGAUUUGGGUAGGCAGAGCCUAGCCAAUAUCGAGAUGCCGCAAGGUCUGGUGUACUAUAGUCCUCGCAGCCUUCAGGUCAUGGUAGCAGACGGUGGCUGUGUCGGCCUCGCCAUUCUGUCAUGCUAUAGAUUCGAAAUGUGGGAGAGGAAGGUCAGUUGUGAUGAUGGUGUUGCUGGAUGGGUGUUGCAGAAGACCGUUCAACUGAACACGAUCCUUGGAUUGGGGCCUAUGGGGGGACUGGACAAUUUACUAAUGGGAUAUGAUGAAGUUGAUCAUGUGAUUUAUAUAAGGACGGACAUUGGUUUCUGCAUGGUUCGACUUGAGUCGAUGCAGUUCAGGAACCUCGGCAAAGACAAUUUCAGCAAUACUUCCUAUCUUCCCUACAGAAGUUUCUAUACUGCAGUGAGUGACUUGGCAGUAUGCGAGAGGACUGGUGAACUCUUUGCACCUCUUGCAAAUGAUUACCUCCUUGCUUCAUGGGGUGUAGAAGCAGUAGGAGGUAACGAAGCAGCUACCUUGAGUGAAACCUCACCGGAAGGAGGUACGGUCGGCAUGUCAAAGCACAUAGAUCAAGGAAAGGAUGCAGAUCCUGCGCCUAGCCGGGCACUAAAACAAACACGAAUUGACGUGAUAUUCAAGAAGGAGACCGAGACAAGAUCAAAGCUUAGCAAAGCUUGGGCAAAAUGGUUUCGGAGCAAUGGCGUUCCUGCAAAUAAAGCAGACUGCCCACACUUCUGUAGUGCCUUGAAGCUAACACAACAACUAGGUACCCGCCUCGUUGCUCCUACAGGCAACGAAAUAGACAGUGCAAAUCUGGACGCCAGUGAUGAAGAACUACCAUAA
rnacentral:rRNA from 1 species